GAUUUUCUUUCCGUGUUUCCUGACUGGUGCGGAACCUGGUCUGUGGGUGGGCCACAAACAUUCUGCAAAGCGACUUGAAGGCGUUAAGGCAUAGCCAAGAUAGCACGCCAGUUACGCACCGGGAGAACGCCUGAGCUUUGACGUUGUACAGAUUAUUUACCCUGCCUUCAUUUCUUUACUUUUCUUUUCUUUUAUGAAAUGUAAAAUGAUCAAAUAAAUACAUGCCAAAUA